GACGAACGCUGGCGGCGUGCUUAACACAUGCAAGUCGAACGAAGAGCGAUGGAAGCUUGCUUCUAUCAAUCUUAGUGGCGAACGGGUGAGUAACGCGUAAUCAACCUGCCCUUCAGAGGGGGACAACAGUUGGAAACGACUGCUAAUACCGCAUACGAUCUAACCUCGGCAUCGAGGAUAGAUGAAAGGUGGCCUCUAUUUAUAAGCUAUCACUGAAGGAGGGGAUUGCGUCUGAUUAGCUAGUUGGAGGGGUAACGGCCCACCAAGGCGAUGAUCAGUAGCCGGUCUGAGAGGAUGAACGGCCACAUUGGGACUGAGACACGGCCCAGACUCCUACGGGAGGCAGCAGUGGGGAAUCUUCCGCAAUGGACGAAAGUCUGACGGAGCAACGCCGCGUGAGUGAUGACGGCCUUCGGGUUGUAAAGCUCUGUUAAUCGGGACGAAAGGCCUUCUUGCGAAUAGUUAGAAGGAUUGACGGUACCG
rnacentral:rRNA from 1 species